GAUGAACGCUGGCGGCGUGCCUAAUACAUGCAAGUCGAGCGAACAGAUGAGGAGCUUGCUCCUCUGACGUUAGCGGCGGACGGGUGAGUAACACGUGGAUAACCUACCUAUAAGACUGGGAUAACUUCGGGAAACCGGAGCUAAUACCGGAUAAUAUAUUGAACCGCAUGGUUCAAUAGUGAAAGACGGUUUUGCUGUCACUUAUAGAUGGAUCCGCGCCGCAUUAGCUAGUUGGUAAGGUAACGGCUUACCAAGGCAACGAUGCGUAGCCGACCUGAGAGGGUGAUCGGCCACACUGGAACUGAGACACGGUCCAGACUCCUACGGGAGGCAGCAGUAGGGAAUCUUCCGCAAUGGGCGAAAGCCUGACGGAGCAACGCCGCGUGAGUGAUGAAGGUCUUCGGAUCGUACAACUCUGUUAUUAGGGAAGAACAAAUGUGUAAGUAACUAUGCACGUCUUGACGGUACCUAAUCAGAAAGCCACGGCUAACUACGUG
rnacentral:rRNA from 1 species